AUUGGACAAUGGGGGCAACCCUGAUCCAGCAAUGCCGCGUGAGUGAUGAAGGCCUUAGGGUUGUAAAGCUCUUUCGGUGGUGACGAUGAUGACGGUAUCCACAGAAGAAGCCCCGGCUAACUUCGUUCCAGCAGCCGCGGUAAGACGAAGGGGGCUAGCGUUGUUCGGAAUUACUGGGCGUAAAGCGCACGUAGGCGGCCUUUCAAGUCAGGUGUGAAAGCCCCGGGCUUAACCCGGGAAUUGCAUUUGAUACUGUUGGGCUAGAGGCCGGGAGAGGAUAGUGGAAUUCCCAGUGUAGAGGUGAAAUUCGUAGAUAUUGGGAAGAACACCAGUGGCGAAGGCGGCUAUCUGGACCGGUGCUGACGCUGAGGUGCGAAAGCGUGGGGAGCAAACAGG
rnacentral:rRNA from 1 species